CUUGGGUGACAGGGCAAGACUCCGUCUCAAAAAAAAAAAAAAAAAUCCUGUCAAGUAAAACUCCUGUGCAUCACUUGGAGUAAACUGAGGGCAAGGAACAAACAGCAAUGGUGGAUUAAGUUUGAGAAAGGGAUUGCAAAAGUAAAUAAAACAAGAACCGUGAGGCAGCGUCACUAAGGGAUGUAACAUAAAUGAGAAUGGAUCGCAAAGCUUCCAUGUGGGUGAGUAUAGAGGAACAAAAUCUGUCAGGAACAGGACAGAAAAGUCACCAGUGGGUCUUCCUGGGCCCUCCACACUAUAGCCUGCCCUCGGGGACAUGCCACCGGCUCUCUGUACCCUGUUCCUUUGUGCCAAGCCUCCGCCUCACUUGGAAGAUUGCGCUGUAAUGAGGCCCUGAAGCCCCGAGGACUCUGUCCUCUGGGACAUCCCUCUAUAAAGACAAUCUGGUCUUUCUUAUGACAGUUUCACAAACCGAGAGCGGUAUUUAAACUUAACUACCUCUGGAAUUGCCUGAAACUUUAGAAGUAGGUUUCAGUUUCACUUGGCAUAAAAAGAUAGGAAUUGCUAAUGAGCCUCCAGAGUUGCAGGAUGAACAGUUGAGUUUCUUUGUUUGGUUCAGGAGUGUGAGCCUGGCUCCUUGCAUCAGCACUGGUUUCUCCAUUUCUGAGUGAGAGCACUGUCAGCUCUGCCCUGGAGGGCACUGCCGAGGGUCACUGUCACCUGUGCCAAGGCUAUCUCAGGUGUGUCACCUGUGCUGGGGGGUCAGCUAAGCCCAUGACCUAUAUGUAGGGGUCCUCCAUCACCUGUGCUGAGGUCCAUCCCCUGUGCUCACGGUCAGCUCAAGUUUGGGCUCCUGGCAGAGGCUGGAAAGCCCCCACAGGUGCAGUUGCCCUGAAGUGGUUACAGCUGCUCCCUGCUGACAUCAUGUGUUCUAGAAGGGCCCAGAAAUGGGCGCCACUUCAGGCAGGUUUUGACUUUCUGUGGAUAAAGAAAAAGUGCUGAUUUUCUCAGAUAAAGCAGAGAGAGUGCUCUCGGAAGCCUGCGGGUCACUGUGAGAGCAAGGUCACUUGCAGCCAAAGCAAGAUGGACUGAGAACACGGGGCCACCAGAAGCCUGGCGGAAUUGGAGGGUAGCACAUCAAAACCAAGUGUAUCUAAGGCUUACAUAUUUUAUCACCUCUGCUGUACAGUUUAUGGUUUACAAUGGCUGCAAGGAAAUUGGAUCAGUUUUGUUUUACUUGCCAAAUAAAACAGAUGUCAAAAUAGUCAAUAUAAAAUGUAUUCUAAUUUGGCUGAGUUAAGUCAGCCAGUGUGCAGCAGGAUAAUUGAAUGUACAUUAAUGCUUCCAAGUAAAAACCACUUGCCUGUCCCAAGUUCCCCUGUGCGGUAAUUUACAGGUAGGAUGCACACCUAUGUGGGCCUCAUCCAUGGGGGUUUUUUGGGUUUUGAGGGAUUUUUUAUUAUUAUUUUCCUAUCCAGUAGCUUUGAUUUUUU